UGAGAUGUAGAUCCAUAACCUCUCACGAUCAUUAUAAAUAGGUGCAUAUGGAUCAAAGUGACAUGCAAAGCGGCCAUAAUUCUUUCCCGUGAAAUUUAUGGUCCAAUACAAAAAUGUGCCGAGACCGAGGGCCGUGACAAGUAGGAGUAUUCGUACUAGUGGAUUGUUCGAGUAUUUGUAGAACCAUGGUAGUUCGGAUUUAAUCUUUGGCACGUGAGUUUGAUCACCAUCAAGAGAAUUGGUGUGUGAGUGGUGACGACUAUGACUAUAUUUAAGUGAAAAGUAUGGCACUAGAAGUGCAGAGUGAAGGAUAAAACCUACAGUGUCAUCUACCCACGGGUAAUCACUAAAGGCAUGGUGUCCACAUUCAUGGGAAACCAUCCAUAUUCCAGUAAAAGCACAACCUUGAACAAUCCAGUAAGCAACCCAUGCUAGGUAGCAAUAUGGGGAUGGAAGGAGGUGAAAGUAAGUGGAGGCGAUGUAGUAGAAGACGGAAACUAGUGAUAGAUCACGAACGACAUAGUAGAAUGAGCGGAUGAGAGAUCGUUUAAAGCAGUGGGGAGGGAUAGCCUUCUUGAUAUCACCAAUUGUAAAUGGGGGCUUUGAAGUUGGCAUUCUUUGGAGAGGAUUUUGCUUUAGUUCUGUUUUAGCUGUUGGAUUAGACAUAUUGCCACCACCUCCCAUUCUUGAUCCUGAAUCCACAACAAUUAAAUACAUCAAAAAAUCACCAAAUCAAAUGCCAAAGUUGGCAACUAAAAGAAGAAUGAGCAUAUAAAAAAAAAAUAGAGAUGAUAAUUAAAGAUAGAAUUUUGGUGAGGAAAAACUACCUCACAAUUCAAAACCACCUUAUAGCCUUAUCUAUUUUUGGAUAUGUCUCUCCCACUUCCUCUCUUAUUUAUAGGAAUAGAGGAAGAGAAGGUAGUUUUUAUACAAUUAUUUUUUUAUAAAAAAAUUGAGGGUAGGGAAUGAAAAAUGUGGGAGGAGAUUACGAGCAUGGAAUCAAAUCCUCACCAACAAGGUGACUAGUUGGACCACUCUACUUUUUUUCUUUUGCGGGCUAUGACCAUUUGAUAUUCGGAACUUGUUGGUCUGACUAGUCAAGGUUUGCUUACCGUUGGGCUAAUUUAAUGGCGAAGUGCUUUCUAUGAUCUAUUUAACAGGGAAGUGCUCCCUAACAUAACCCGAGACCUCUAACUAAGGUUGAAGGAUUACAGGUGGUUUCAUUUGCCAACUUUGUCCUGAAUGGCUGCUGACUAGAUCUGAAAAGAAUUAAUAUCCUACAUAAUGUGCUCUAGAUUCCAGCUUUUAUAUUAUUUAAACUUUGUCCAAGUUUGAAUAUUAAUAAUCACAUUCAGUAGUAAGGCGGCUUAUUGAAGAAAGAAAAUUAACAGAACGUAAUUUAUGAAUCAAUCACAUUCAAUAGUAAGGUGGCUUAGUUUUGUCAUUUUAGUAGGUCUGAUUUAUGUUCCCUCUAAUUGUAAAUGGGGGCUUUGAAGUUGGCAUUCUUUGGAGAGGAUUUUUCUUUAGUUCCGUUUUAGCUGUUGGAUUAGACAUAUUGCCACCACCUCCCAUUCUUGAUCCUGAAUCCACAACAAUUAAAUACAUCAAAAAAUCACCAAAUCAAAAGCCAAAGUUGGCAACUAAAAGAAGAAUGAGCAUAUAAAAAAAAUAGAGAUGAUAAUUAAAGAUAGAAUUUUGGUGAGGAAAAACCACCUCACAAUUCAAAACCACCUUAUAGCCUUAUCUAUGGUUGGAUAUGUCUCUCUCCCACUUCCUCUCUUAUUUAUAGGAAUAGAGGAAGAGAAGGUAGUUUUUAUAAUUAUUUUUCUUAAAAAAAAAAGAUAGAGAGUAGGGAAGGAGAAAUGUGGGAGGAGAUUACAAGCAUGGAAUCAAAACCUCACCAACAAGGGGAAUGGUUGGACCACUCUACUUUUUUUCUUUUGCGGGCUAUAACCAUUUGAUAUUUGGAACUUGUUGGUCUGACUAGUCAAGGUAUGUUUAGCGUUGGGCUAAUUUAAGGGCGAAGUGCUUUCUAUGAUCUAUUUAACAGGGAAGUGCUCCCUAACAUAAUCCGAGACCUCUGACUGAGGUUGAAGGUCUACAGGUGAUUUUGUUUGGCCAACUUUGUCCUGAAUGGCUGCUGACUUGAAUCUGAAAAAAAAUAAUAUCCUACAUAAUGUGCUCUGGGUUCCAGCUUUUAUAUUAUUUAAACUUUGUCCAAGUUUGAAUGUAAAUAAUCACAAAUCAGUAGUAAGGCGGCUUAUUCUAGAAAAAAAAUUAACAGAAGAUAAUUUAUGAAUCAUCACAUUCAAUAGUAAGGCGGCUUAGUUUUGUCAUUUUAGUAGUACUGAUUUAUGUUUCCUCUAAUGCUAUUUAUUGAAAAGAGGUCAUGAUUAAAUUGUCACGAUCCAAGCAGGGGCCUGGCAGCGACGGAUAUCUCGAAUCAUCAUGGCCGACUAGAGCCGGAGCCCUGGCCGCGACGGAUAUCUCAAACCAUCAAGGCCGACCCGAGCCGGGGUCCUGGCCGCGACGGACAUCUCAUACCAUCAAGGCCAACCGAAGCCGGCCGGGGCCCUGGCCACGACGGGCAUCUCAAACCAACAAGGUCGUUGAAAAGAGGUCGCGACGGGCAUCCCGACCAACCGAAGCCGGCUGGGGCCCUGGUCACGACGGGCAUCUCAAACCAUCAAGGUCGUUGAAAAGAGGCCGCGACGGGCAUCCCGAACCCUCAAGGUCAUUGAAAAGAGGUCAUGAUUAAAUUGGCACGACCCGAGCCGGAGCCCUGAUUAACUCCCCAACCCACUAGUGAUAUUGUCCGCUCUGAACCCAUACCCGCAAAGCUUUAAAACGUGUUACUAGGGAGUAAGACUUGCUUACUUAUAUACCCAACAUCCCUCCUGUAUUUUGCCGACGUGGGACUCCUUCUCUUAAGUUGGGGUGUCACAUAAAUACUUCUAUAAUUAGUGUAUAUAUAUAUAUAUAUAUAUAUAUAUAUAUAUCAUACUACAUCACACUACAGGAAAUUAAUGACGUAUAUAUACAGGGGCGACAUUGGGAUUUGAAGUUUAUACUCGUCUUAGUUAUCGAGUUUACAAUUAAAUAUUUGUAUAUGUUUAACAGACUUUCUUAAAAAUAUAUAACGUCUGAGAAAAAUUUAUUAGGUUCGUCCAAACCCGUAAGUAAUACACUACCUCCACCCCCUAUUUCUGUGGUGACUGGCAACCCUUCCAACCAUAUUCCUGUCCCAUUGAUAUUGAUUCAAAGCAUAUAAUUCUCCGAACUAUUUGUGUUGUAAUAAGAAGCUCAUACAUUCUAAAACUUUCUUGCCAACCUCAAGAUCAUGAGUUCCCUCAAACUGACUUUUUUGGAACUCCCCGCUGUUUUGCUUUUAAAUGGUUUGAGGAAUAUUCUGAUUGAUUGGAAUAUAGUAUACUUAUUGUUUGCUUUGUUAUUUAUCUUAAGGCCAAAGCAUUCAUCAACAUGGUGGAAAUGCAUUUUUGACUAAGGGAUUUAAAAAUUGGUACAGAAAGGAUAGCUUUGCAACACAUAUUGGUCCUCCGAAUAGAGUUCAUAAUCAAUCAAAAAGAAAGUGUGAAGAUCUUAUGCGGGAAGAACAAUCUAUUGAGGUUGUAUUUUACAAGUUGAACGAUAAAAGUAAGCAUGAAUACCGGGUUUAAUUAAAUGCUUCAAUUGAUGUGGUAUAAUUUCUUGUAAAUUAAGGUUUACCACUAUGAGGUCAUGAUAAAAGUGAAUUGUCAUUAAACAAAGGUAAUUUUCUUGAACCUUUCUUGACUUGCGGAUAAUGUGAUGAAAUUAAACCUUAUGUGUUAGAAAAAGCUUCAAAAAAUAAUAAAAUAAUUUCUCAUGAUAUUCAAAAAGAUAUUGUGACUGCAUAUAAGAUUGAAACAAUCAAGGCUAUAGCAACGGAUUUAGAUGGUGACUACUUUCCUUUGUUGGUUGAUGAAUCAAAAAACGUAUCAUGCAACGAGCAAAAGACUAUUUGUUCACGAUAUGUUGAUAAAAAGGGAUUUGUGAUGGAAGCAUUCAUUGGACUUGUUCAUGUUAAACAGUUAAAGAUACUAGUGUAUCUCUAAAGAAAACAAUUAUGGAUGUACUCUUAUGUACGAGGUCAAUGUUAUGGAGGGGCAAAAAAUAUAUAAGGUGAGUUAGGUGGUCUUAAAAUAUUAAUUAGACAAGAAAAUAAAUCAGCUCACUCAGAUCAUUAUUUUCCUCAUCAACUUCAAUAGACUCUUGUUGCACUUUGUAAAAUAUGUGUUCAAGUAGGAGAACUUAUAUUAUUGGUUUCAAAGCUUCUUUUAAAUGAGUGGAAUAAUUUGGAGAAUCUCAACUCCAAGAGGCAUUACAUAUGGGUAAACUAAGAAUAGGUGAAACCACUAAUUACCAGGUGAAAUUGUCUGAAUUCCAACAGGUGAAACCACUAAUUAACUCAUUAGUUUAUGGAGCAAAUGCUACGUUUUUUGUUGAAAUAUCUAUAUAGGUUUGUUGAGUGAACCUAACAUAUACUUGGGAGAGGGAAAUGAAAACGCCACCGCCAUGAAAUAUGAACUAACAAUAAUAAGUUGCCAAAGCACUACUCAUCAAAAUCAAAUUGGUUGGACAAGGAACAUAUGUACAAACUUGGAAAACAAAAUGGCAUGGAACAUCAAGGAGAUGGAAUGUGAACCAUCUAAAAUGAUAUAUUAUGGAGUGAUAGGAAAUUACAAUCUAAACAAACAUUAUUUAAAAUACUUAAAACAACUAAGGUUGAACAUUUAACUUAUUCAACUAACUAGAGAUUUUUUUGGUAUUCAUCUUUUAGAGCUUGUUUUUAAACCAAAAAACACCAUUAUCGUGAGAUCCUUCAUCUUUCUCUACAUAUAUGCACUCCCUUAACUCCCUCCACAAUGCUUUAUAAAUAGGAGUACCAUCAAAUUGGUAGUAUUCUCCUAGUAAUGGCUUGACAGCUUUGGUUGCCUCCACCGCGUGGUAAUGUGGUAUAGUUGAGAAUAGAUGAUGCAACACAUGAGUAUCUGCGAAAUUGUGUAAGAUCAUAUUUAGCAUGCCAUAGUCUCUGUCUACGGUAGCUAGAGCUCCUCUUAACCAAUCCCACUCAGAUGAAUCGUAAUGUGGCACUGAAAGGUGAUUGUGGUUCAAAAAAGUCACCAUAACAAAGAAUACAUUAUGAAAUAGGAGUGGCAUCCCAUAAAUACAUACAAGCCAAGCUAUUCCUUGUGCCAUAGCAAUGCAAUACAACACAUAAGUAGUUGCGAUCAAACCUGCAUCUGAAAUGUAGAUCCAAAACCUCUCACGAUCAUUAUAUAUAGGUGCAUAAGGAUCAAAGUGACAUGCAAAGCGGCCAUAAUUCUUUCCCGUGAAAUUUAUGGUCCAAUACAAAAAUGUGCCGAGAGUGAGGGCAGUGACAAGUAGGAGCAUUCGUACUAGUGGAUUGUUCGAGUAUUUGUAGAACCAUUGUAGCUCUGCUUUAAUCUUUGGCACGUAAAUUUGAUCACCGUCAAGGGAAUUAUUGUGUGCAUGGUGACGACCGUGA
rnacentral:lncRNA from 1 species